rnacentral:piRNA from 1 species
UGGACAACCUGACCUUGAUGGAGAUCAGC